rnacentral:rRNA from 1 species
AUUGAACGCUGGCGGCAGGCCUAAACCUGCCAGGUGGGCGGAUGAAGGGAGGUUUCCUCUGGAAUCAGCGGCGGACGGGUGAGUAAUUGCCUGGAAUCUUGCCGGGAGUUGGGGAUAACGUUCGGAAACCGGGGGUAAUUCCCCCUACCGUCCGGGGGAGGAAGGUGGGGGUCCUCGGGCCCUCACGCAUUAGGAGGAGCCUAGGUCGGAUUAGCUAGUGGGUGGGGUAAAGGCCUACCAAGGCGACGAUCCGUAACUGGUCUGAGAGGAUGAUCAGUCACACUGGAACUGAGACACGGUCCAGACUCCUACGGGAGGCAGCAGUGGGGAAUAUUGGACAAUGGGCGAAAGCCUGACCCAGCCAUGCCGCGUGUGUGAAGAAGGUCUUCGGAUUGUAAAGCACUUUAAGUUGGGAGGAAGGGCAGUAAGUUAAUACCUUGCUGUUUUGACGUUACCAACAGAAUAAGCACCGGCUAACUUCGUG